UACGAAGGGGCUAGCGUUGCUCGGAAUCACUGGGCGUAAAGCGCACGUAGGCGGAUUGUUAAGUCAGGGGUGAAAUCCUGGAGCUCAACUCCAGAACUGCCUUUGAUACUGGCGAUCUCGAGUCCGGGAGAGGUGAGUGGAACUGCGAGUGUAGAGGUGAAAUUCGUAGAUAUUCGCAAAGAACACCAGUGGCGAAGGCGGCUCACUGGCCCGGUACUGACGCUGAGGUGCGAAAGCGUGGGGAGCAAACAGG
rnacentral:rRNA from 1 species